CUGCAGUCGAUGUCUGAGCUCUCGUGUGGGGAUUUUCCUCCUCGUCUCCAUCUGUCUCCAGGAUCUGCUGUCUGUGCUGAAAUCUGAUUCGUAGGAAACAGUAUCUGAGUUCGGGAAAUGCCACGGGGUGUCUGAGGCCUUUGGGACCGGGCAUGGAAAAGAGCAGCCCCCAAAGCCUGUUGUAAUCCUCUGUGCCAAAAUGAGAUAAGAAAGCCUCAAAGCUUUAUUACAGAGGAGGACGGCACAGCUCAGAGGAUCCCGUGUGCCUUUUGGUGCCUCUGUCCUAUCGGUUGUGUCCCCCAGAAUCACAGUGGUUACAGCCAGGAAUUGCUGCCCUUCAUCACGUGUGGGACCAGCAUUGGGGUUUUCCUUCCUUGGCUCUGCAGGGAACGGUCCCUGCUGGCAUUUCCCCGCUGCAGUGGGCGCUGCGGAUGCUGUGUGUGCUCCUGGCGUGCGCUGAGUUCCAACUGUUGGCUUUUGCUCUGAAGCAAUAAAUCUGAGCAGAGCACGCUCUGUGCAUGGGGUGUGGGCUGCUGGGGGUGAUUUGGGGCUGUGUUGCUUCGUGUUGGCCCUGAGGGAUUGUCCCAUGUCACAGCAGUGGAGGCAGAAGCCCCAUGGAAACUUCACUUGCGCUCUCUCCUCGUUUGCCAUUUGCCUCGCUCCUAAAAUAGAAGCAGCUGAGACUAAAAGCACACACGAGCAAUUUGCAAACAGAAGGACAAUUAAAAGGAGGAAAAACCAAUUUCCCCCAGCGUAGCGGGGAAAGACAGUGCUGCAUUGUGUGAGCUGCGGUGUCCUUCCAGCAGAACAACCGGCCCAGGUUCUCUGCCCACGGCUAUUUCGGAUGACAGUACUCUGUGAGAUCUCUUGUUCUCAGCCCCCUCGGAGUCUCUCUGCUCCGGCAGCAGCAGCAAAACCUCCUGGCCUUCCC
rnacentral:lncRNA from 1 species